rnacentral:rRNA from 1 species
AUUGAACGCUGGCGGCAGGCCUAACACAUGCAAGUCGAGCGGAUGAAGGGAGCUUGCUCCUGGAUUCAGCGGCGGACGGGUGAGUAAUGCCUAGGAAUCUGCCUGGUAGUGGGGGAUAACGUCCGGAAACGGGCGCUAAUACCGCAUACGUCCUGAGGGAGAAAGUGGGGGAUCUUCGGACCUCACGCUAUCAGAUGAGCCUAGGUCGGAUUAGCUAGUUGGUGGGGUAAAGGCCUACCAAGGCGACGAUCCGUAACUGGUCUGAGAGGAUGAUCAGUCACACUGGAACUGAGACACGGUCCAGACUCCUACGGGAGGCAGCAGUGGGGAAUAUUGGACAAUGGGCGAAUGCCUGAUCCAGCCAUGCCGCGUGUGUGAAGAAGGUCUUCGGAUUGUAAAGCACUUUAAGUUGGGAGGAAGGGCAGUAAGUUAAUACCUUGCUGUUUUGACGUUACCAACAGAAUAAGCACCGGCUAACUUCGUG